AUACGUAGGUGGCAAGCGUUGUCCGGAAUUAUUGGGCGUAAAGCGCGCGCAGGCGGUCUCUUAAGUCUGAUGUGAAAGCCCACGGCUCAACCGUGGAGGGUCAUUGGAAACUGGGAGACUUGAGUACAGAAGAGGAGAGUGGAAUUCCACGUGUAGCGGUGAAAUGCGUAGAUAUGUGGAGGAACACCAGUGGCGAAGGCGACUCUCUGGUCUGUAACUGACGCUGAGGCGCGAAAGCGUGGGGAGCAAACAGGAUUAGAUACCCUGGUAGUCCACGCCGUAAACGAUGAGUGCUAGGUGUUAGGGGUUUCGAUGCCCUUAGUGCCGAAGUUAACACAUUAAGCACUCCGCCUGGGGAGUACGACCGCAAGGUUGAA
rnacentral:rRNA from 1 species